AAAUACGCAGCUGCUCAAGCGUAUGGCAGCCAGAUGUGACAAAAAUCCGUUAAAAAUGGUAUAUUGGUAUAACGUGCUUCCCAGAAAAAAUGUGACAAAGCAUCGCGCCCCUACAAAGCUAUAUUUUCUUAUGAGUGGAAACCACACACAAUUUCUCCCAACACUAAUGAGAAAGUUCUCCACAACUAUACACAAGGACAAAAAGUAAUUUUAAACCCGCCUGAUUCAAAAUGUACGAGAAAAUGGAACAGAGAAAGAGUCUCAGAUCAAGGACGAGGAGUUUCGGUAGAAAUCAAUGGAUUGCCAAGACACAUGGACAUUAAAUUGCAUUCAACUAGAUGCUUAUUCAAAAGUUUGGGCUACAUUUAGGUUUAUUACUUUCUUUUCAGCAAACAUCGGUGCUGAUGGGUCUCUCCCUCCACCUUUAAUAUCUAUGCAAACAUAAUAAUUCCGAUGAACGUGUUCAAGGCAUUUCCAAAAAUGCUUACUGCUAUUUGAAAAAGCAAGUCUGGCUAUAUAAACAAUGAGCUUUUAUAUGAAUAUAAAUAUCAAAAACUCAUUUAGAAAACUUGGCAUCUAUCCCUUUAACACAGAAGCCCCAGAUUACAGCAAACUACUAAAAGAGGUUAAGUAUUCAAGCGAGGCGGUUUUUUUUGAAGGUGAAAGAUGGUAAGGUGGAAUGAAGCAUGCAAGUAGAUCCCAUUCAGAAAGUGUAUGCUAGGACUCAAACCUUAUCUGAUAAAUACUGCACUAAUCUUAUAGAAUCACUGGGAGCAGGCACAACUAUAAAGUUGUAAGUUAUUUUUGUUCUUUAAACUUUCAAACUAUUCAAGCUUUAAUUAAAAAAAAUCAAAAGCCAUGCAAACAUUCAAUCCAUUUAAAUUUGUACAUAUCUUUUACAGAUGUUCAUUUAGAAUCAUUGCGUUUUAUCACUAGAUAAAAAUGAUUAAACAUUUACAAAGAAGAAAUGCAGAUAAAAUAUCAACAAACCCUGUAGAUGAAAGAAGCCAUGUAGAAGGCGUGACAGAGGAAUCAUUGUUACCUUCUCAUGCCUUAACUCUAUCAACAUUGCAUUCAAACAGCUAUAAGCAAAGCCUUACUACAUCAUAGAUGGUGUCCAUUGCCAAAGAAGACUGUUCCUAAAGUUAGGAUAGUAGCUCAAGAACUCCAUACAACAUCUGUCUUGACAACACCUCUAGUAGUUUCUUUUUUGGAGGAUAUCCAACAAAAAAAAAAGAAAGAUACUAUUGCUGCCUAAGGUCACAAACAAGUACGAUUAAAAAACGCAGAAAAGAAAAAAACACACACACAUACAGCUGUUGUUAAAGGAAAAUUAAACUUAUCCUACCCUGUAAAAUAUAAAGUACAGACUUUAAAAUCUUUUCUUUACAGUAUUUUUUUAUAUUUUACGUUGUAAACGAUAAAAAGAAUACUUUUUCAUUUUGCUACA